rnacentral:rRNA from 1 species
ACCACGGAGGGUUUGAUCCUGGCUCAGAACGAACGUUGGCGGCGUGGAUUAGGCAUGCAAGUCGUGCGAGAACGUCACCUUCGGGUGGCUAGUAAAGCGGCGAACGGGUGAGUAACACGUGGGGAAUCUGCCCUCGAGUUGGGGAUAACACUCCUAACGGGGUGCUAAUACCGAAUAACACGACCGGGUCGCAUGGCCUGGUCGUCAAAGCUGGCCUCUGCAUGCAAGCUGGCGCUUGAGGAUGAUCCCGCGUCCCAUUAGCUUGUUGGUAGGGUAACUGCCUACCAAGGCUACGAUGGGUAGCUGGUCUGAGAGGAUGGUCAGCCACACUGGGACUGAGACACUGC